rnacentral:sRNA from 1 species
AUCACUGCAGCACUGUGGCUGUGGACCUGCUAAGUGACUCCUGGGAUUUUGGACUGUGGAUGACUCCAGUUAACCAGAACAGUGGGAAAUGAAACUAUGAGUAAGGAACAUGGUACCUCCAGGAUUCUUUUCUGCUGGUGUGACAAAAUACCAUAAGCAAGCAGAAUGACUGUACCUAUGGCCAUAACGAUGGAUGUUGUCACCGUUUUCCAAGAAUGUCUCAGCAACCACUCCAGCACACACUCCCUGGGCAUCUGUAGCUGACUGAAUGUGGAGUAUCUUGACCAUGAGGCAGAAACUCUGCAUGUUGUUUAGAUGGAAUGAAUUUACUACACCAUGGUGUCCCUUAUCUUGGCGGAGCAUACUCUAGUGUCCCAGGUCAGUACCAGAAACUGUAGACAGAAUUGAGCCUGGCAUGGACUGUCCUUGUUUCUAUACAUACAUGACUAUGGUAAAGUUAAACUUACAAGUUAGGCCCAGUAAGAGAUUAAUAGCUAUCAUUAAUAAUAAAAUAGGACGAUUUUUACAAUAUGCUCUAAUGAUAUUUGUGAGACUGGGCAGUAUCUCUCUCUUGAGACAAAUAUUAAUAUUUUGACUGCUUUAUAACUGAAGCUACAUACUAUGUGUGUGGACUACUGCUAUGGCCUUCUAAGUAAGUUUAAGACUGUUGGUGGAGUCAAAGGGACCCCUAGGUAAACCAACAAGAAAGUGAUUAUUAAGAAACGGCGUUUAUCCCAAGGACUGGAAGAAAAGGAAAUGAGGCUGGAGUAGGCAAAACUGG